rnacentral:misc_RNA from 1 species
AACUUUUAACAAUGGAUCUCUUGUCUCUCGCAUCGAUGAAGAACGCAGCGAAAUGCGAUAAGUAAUGUGAAUUGCAGAAUUCAGUGAAUCAUCGAAUUUUUGAACGCACCUUGCGCUCCCUGGUAUUCCGGGAGGCACGCCUGUUCGAGUGUCGUGAAAUUCUCAAACUGAGAUUCUUUUUUGUUUCUCGGCUUGGUGUUGGGCUUUGCAGUCCCCUUUGUUUGGGAUGGCUGUACUCAAUAGCAUUAGCUAGGUUUUCAUGUGGUAUUGGUUUUCACCAGCGUGAUGAGGAUCUGACCGCCGAGGACAUCUUUCGAGAUGGCCAAUUCUCAUUUGGGCUGCUUCUAAUCUUGGUCUAGCAGAUUCUGAACCUGGACCACUUUUCAACUUUUGACCUCGAAUCAGGUGGGACUACCCGCUGAACUUAAGCAUAUCAAUAAGCGGAGGCU